rnacentral:misc_RNA from 1 species
UACGGAGGGUGCAAGCGUUAUCCGGAUUUACUGGGUUUAAAGGGUGUGUAGGCGGGCAGGUAAGUCAGAGGUGAAAUCUCCGAGCUUAACUCGGAAACUGCCUUUGAUACUAUUUGUCUUGAAUGUCGUUGAGGUGGGCGGAAUAUAUCAUGUAGCGGUGAAAUGCAUAGAUAUGAUAUAGAACACCAAUUGCGAAGGCAGCUCACUAAGCGAAUAUUGACGCUGAGGCACGAAAGCGUGGGGAGCAAACAGG